UACGUAGGGGGGCAAGCGUUUGUCCGGAAUCAUUGGGCGUAAAGCGCGUGUAGGCGGCCCGGUAAGUCCGCUGUGAAAGUCGGGGGCUCAACCCUCGAAUGCCGGUGGAUACUGUCGGGCUAGAGUGCGGGAGAGGCGAGUGGAAUUCCUGGUGUAGCGGUGAAAUGCGCAGAUAUCAGGAGGAACACCAAUUGCGAAGGCAGCUCGCUGGAACGUAACUGACGCUGAGAACGCGAAAGCGUGGGGAGCAAACAGG
rnacentral:rRNA from 1 species